rnacentral:rRNA from 1 species
GAUGAACGCUGGCGGCGUGCCUAAUACAUGCAAGUCGAGCGAACGGGCGAGAAGCUUGCUUCUCUGAUGUUAGCGGCGGACGGGUGAGUAACACGUGGAUAACCUACCUAUAAGACUGGGAUAACUUCGGGAAACCGGAGCUAAUACCGGAUAAUAUUUUGAACCGCAUGGUUCAAAAGUGAAAGACGGUCUUGCUGUCACUUAUAGAUGGAUCCGCGCUGCAUUAGCUAGUUGGUAAGGUAACGGCUUACCAAGGCAACGAUGCAUAGCCGACCUGAGAGGGUGAUCGGCCACACCGGAACUGAGACACGGUCCAGACUCCUACGGGAGGCAGCAGUAGGGAAUCUUCCGCAAUGGGCGAAAGCCUGACGGAGCAACGCCGCGUGAGUGAUGAAGGUCUUCGGAUCGUAAAACUCUGUUAUUAGGGAAGAACAUAUGUGUAAGUAACUGUGCACAUCUUGACGGUACCUAAUCAGAAAGCCACGGCUAACUACGUG